rnacentral:rRNA from 1 species
CAGCCGCCGCGGUAAUACGGAGGGUGCAAGCGUCAAUCGGAAUUACUGGGCGUAAAGCGUGCGUAGGCGGUUUGUUAAGUCUGUUGUGAAAUCCCCGGGCUCAACCUGGGAAUGGCAAUGGAUACUGGCAAGCUAGAGUGUGUCAGAGGAUGGUGGAAUUCCCGGUGUAGCGGUGAAAUGCGUAGAGAUCGGGAGGAACAUCAGUGGCGAAGGCGGCCAUCUGGGACAACACUGACGCUGAGGCACGAAAGCGUGGGGAGCAAACAGGAUUAGAGACCCGUGUAGUCCCUGUCUCUUAUAA